ACUGCACCAUUACACUCCAGCCUGGGCAACAAGAGCCAAACUUUGCCUCAAAAAAAAAAAAAAAAGACUCACUUCAUGAACUGUUAACAUUGUCAUUCAUGUCAGUCAGGCAACUAAAUCCUACUCUUUUCCUCAACCUUAGAGGAUUGGUGACUCAGAUCAACUAUUGUUUUAUUCUGAAGCUUCUCCGUUUUCAUGUGAGAAAGCUCUUUGUCUGUCUGGGUUUCAGAGACACAUUAGGUCUUUCUAGAGGAAACCUGUUCCCCGUGACAGCAUGCCUGGGUGCCUCUGGCUUUGUAGCCGAUGGUAUUUUGGAGCUAGCUUUGCUCCCUUUAAGCCUUAUGGGUAUAACCUUAGGUUCUUUAGAUGAACAGGUGUAGCUGCUGCACAUGCUAAUUUGCAAAGACAGUGUUUCAGUAUGAGGGCUUUAAAAAGGAGACUGCAAAGCUGGAAUGUGGAGCUGGACACGGAGGUCAUGGUCAGCUAGUUUCCUUUAGUUAAAUGAGCAACUUUAUUCUGAGCUCUUCUGAUUUUGCUGAAAAUAUUUUAGCCAUUUUGAGGAGAACUUGAAAGCUUGAUAAAAGAGCCUCACAGAUAUUUUCCCAAAGAAGAUGGCAGUACGUAUUACUAAAUACACAGCAGAUGCAGAAUAAAAACAGAUCCUGAGGUUUGUGUCAAGUAACAUGAUUUAUUGAACGGAAGUCAGCGGGUUCAUUGUCAGUGUCCAGCCUUAUCAGAAAAUAUUAUUAAAUAUUUCCCAUGAUUUCCAGCUGCAUUCACAUUGGGGCUUCACCGUGCUAGUUAACAUGAAAAGUGAAACAUAUAAAUCACAUUAUUAUGCAGUUGGAGUUUUGCCUUAAACUAUUAAUAUUGAAACAAAUUGCUGUCGUCACAUUCCAUUUGUUAAUUGAAAAGCUUAUUUUGAAGUAAGCAUUUUAACAAAUUUAUUAGGGAUAUGGUUACUUAUAUUUUGUCAUAUAUCUUAUUGUAAUAUUUAAUAUUUAAAGUUGUAGCAUAGUCCAAUUUCAUUGGAUUUUUCAAUGUCACAUUUUCUGUAUCUUUGACAGGUGACACUGAUUUUCUGUUCCUGCCCUCCCUCUCCUUCCCCAGUGCCUUGACUCGGGCCUUCAGGAGAUAGGAGGCCGGAGAAACACAAUAUGGUGGUGGACUGUGUGAAGUGGUUGAGAAUCACUCCCAGGUUCUUGCCUUGGGAGACUGGACAGUGGGACUCCCAUCUGCCAUGACUGGAAAUGUAUGCUAAGUCCCCAGAGGUUGGGAGAGUGGGCGUAAAGAUGAUACAUUUUGUGUAACGAGCAGCUUGAGUUUGAUUAUCCAUAGAGCAUUCAGAAAAGAUAUUCAGUCUACAGGAGGAAGUAAGGAUUUGGAGCUCCAGAGGAGAGAUCUGGGUUGGUGAGAGGUAUUUAGAAAUCAUUCACUGGCAGGAACUAAAAUAAAGCAGUUGUUUUGAAAGGAACUCAGCUGAUAAAAUUCUGAAUGCCAAGAAAGGUGAUUCGGUGGAAUCCAGAGAACACCAAGUACUGAAUGGGCAGAGGUGCCAUGGAUAAGGAGGAGAGCCUGCAGAAAGUGGCAAUGAAAAUAACAGGGAGAGAAGAGUUUUAAGGGGAGAGAGCAGGAAACAGUGGCAAGCAUGAGACCAAGUAAGGACCAAUGUCCUGAGUGGAUUUGGCAGUGGCGAGGUUGUUAGCUACACUAGCAAGAAGAACAAUGUGUUUAUGGGCACGCCUUGUUUCAUUGCGCUUUGCUUUAUUCCACUUCACAAAUAUUGCAUUUUUUUACAAAUUGAAGUUUUGUGGCAACAAACUGUGGUGAGCCAGUCUACUGGCGCCGUUUUUCCAACAGUGUGUGUUCCCAUUACAUCUCUGUGUCACAAUGUGGUAAUUCUCAAUAGUUCAGGCUUGUUCAUUUUUGUUAUAUGUGUUAUGGUCAUCUGUAAUCAUUGACCUUUGAUGCUAUUAUUGUAAUUGUUUUGGGGCUCCACAAAGUGCGCCCAUAUGAGAUGGCAAACUUGAUCCGUAAGUGUUGUGUGUGAUCUGACUGUUCCAAUGACUGGCCGUUCUCCUGUCUCUCUCCCUCUGCUCUGGCCCCCCUAUCUCCUGAGACACAACAAUAUCUGAACUAGGUCAGUUCAUAACUCUGCAAUGGCCUCUACAUGUUGAAGGAAAGGAACCAUCACGUCUCUCACUUUAAAUCAAAAACUAGACAUAAUUAGGCUUUGGGAGGGAGGCAUGUCCAAAGCUGAGACAGACCAAAAGCUAGGUCUCUUUUGCCAAAGUCAGCCAAGUUAUGAAUGCCAUGAAUAGUUCUAGAAGGAAAUUAGAAAGGCUACUCCAAUGAACACACGAGUGAUAAGAAAGCAAAGCAGACUUGUCGCUGUUAUGGAGAAAGUUUGAGGGGUCUGAACAGAAGAUCAAGCCAGCUACAACAUUCCCUUGAGCCAAAACCUAAUCCAGAUCAAGGCCCUAACUAGCUUCAAUUCUGUGAAGGCUGAGAGAAAUGAGGAAGCUGCAGAAGAAAAGUUUGAAGCUAGCAGAAGUUGGUUCAUGAGGUUUAAGAAAAGGAGCUGUCUCCAUAACAUAUAAGUGCAAGGUGAAGCAGGAAGUGCUGAUGGAGAAGCUGUAGUAAGUUAUCUAGAAGAUCUAGCUCAGAUCAUUGAUGAAGGUGACUAUACAAAACAAUGGAAUUUCAGUAUAGACAGAACAAUCUUAUUCUGGAAAUAAAUGCCAUCUAGGAUUUUCACAGGUAGAGAGAAGAUGUCAAUAUCUGCCUUCAGUGAUACAAUCGUCAAAGGACAGGCUAACUCUCUUACUAGAGGCUGAUGCAGCUGGUGACGUUAAGUUGAAGCUGAUGCUCAUUUACUAUACCAAAACACUUAGGACCCUUAAGAAUAAUGCUGAAUCUACUCUGCUUAUGCUCUAUGAGUGGAACAACAAAGCCUGGAUGACAUCACAUCUGGCUACAACAUGUUUUACUAAAUAUUUUAAGCCUACUGUUGAGACCUACUGCUCAGAAAAAAAGAUUUCUUUCAAAGUAUUACUGCUUACUGACAAUAUACUUCAGUGACAGUGGUCACAAAAGAGCUCUGAUGGAGAUUUACAGGGAAAUUAAUGCUAUUUUCAUGCCUGAUACAACAUUCACUUUGCAGUAGCCCAUGGAUUAAGGAGUAAUUUUUCCUUUCAAGUUUUAUUACUUAAGAAAUAUGUUUCAUAAGGCUGUAGCUGCCAUAGAUCAUGAUUCCAAAAUAGGAAAUUUUCUGGAAAGGAUUCACCAUUCUGGAUACCAUUAAGAACAUUUGUAAUCCAUGGGAGGAGGUCAGAAUAUCAGCAUUAACAGGAGUUUGAAAGAAGUUGAUUCCAACCCACGGGAAAGAUUGUGUUCCGAUGUUUAGAUCUUUAAUUAAUGUUCUGUAUACUAGAGAUACAAGUUCAAAAAUUCAAACUUCAAGUUUUCCUUUACUAGAGUUGCAAAUUGAAAAAUCAGAAUUUCCUUGAGGUUUUAGAUUCAAUUUAUUCUAUUUGUAAAUUUUGUAUUUUUAAGUAAAAAAAUAAAAAAACAUACCUCUUGAGGCCUUUGAAAAACAUUUGAUCAACUCAAAUGGAAGACUAAAUCCCCUUUACUUAACAAUUAGUCCUACUGAGAAAGACCUUUAGAUAUAUUCCCUUAAACAUUUACAUUGAAUCUAUAAAUUUGGUUUAUUUAAUUUUUAAAAUUUGUUACUAUUUUUUA